rnacentral:tRNA from 2 species
CACUAGGAAGCUAAAACCGAACAAGCAUUGGCCUUUUAAGCCAAACCUUGGUGAUUAACGACCACCUCUAGUGA